UCACUUAUCAUAACCAAAAUUAAAGUUGGGGUUUGAUUCAUCAAGAAAAACAAUCUCCGUAAAAAGUUCAACAUUAACUUUGCAACCGUAGCCAAAUUGUAAAAUUUUAUACUUGGUAAAACUUAAAUUUCUUCAAGGAUGAAGAUAAUUAUUAUUCUGGUUACAUUUGGCUUGGCAGUUCUUUUCAGUAUUAGCCGGGCAAAUGGGAACCCGGUUCAAUCAGAAGCAGAAGUUCUUGCCAUACCUUGCAACGGUAUUAAUGGAAGCAGACAUGGCACCUGCAUCGCAUCCUUCCUCGCCUGCCUUCCGAAAAUUCCACUCAUUUCGUUCCAAUGUCCCUUGGAGCUGUCAGUCUGUUGCCCAGAUUGAAAUUGACACGGAUAAUAUUUUGGUAGUAUGAAACAGUUAUAGUGACGUUAUUUAUCCAUAGAACGUCUUAAAGAAAAACACUGAACUAUGUAAAGAGGGUAUUUAGAUUAAUUGGGGGGUAUUUAGUUUAAUAAAUCUUACAACUUCUUGCAACAUAAUUACCUGUACAGACCAUGAAUAUUGACGAUGUCUUUCGAAAUGCAUUUCAACGGAGAUGAUGGAAUAAAGCAUUUAUGAAUUCUGUAAGGCUUAUCAGAUUA